UGGCUCAGUUGGUAGAGCAUGGUGUUUGCAAUGAUGUUUGCAAUGCCAGGGUUGUGGGUUCGAUUCCCAC
rnacentral:tRNA from 1 species